rnacentral:rRNA from 1 species
UACAGAGGGUGCAAGCGUUAAUCGGAGUUACUGGGCGUAAAGGGCGCGUAGGCGGUUAUAUAAGUGAGAUGUGAAAUCCCUGGGCUUAACCUAGGAACUGCAUCUCAUACUGUAUGACUGGAGUAUUGUAGAGGGUAGUGGAAUUUCCGGUGUAGCGGUGAAGUGCGUAGAGAUCGGAAGGAACACCAGUGGCGAAGGCGGGUCUCUGGGCCGAUACUGACGCUGAGGAACGAAAGCGUGGGGAGCGAACAGG